rnacentral:rRNA from 1 species
UUUGUUGGUAAAUCUCGUGCCAGCCACCGCGGUUAUACGAGAGACUCCAGUUGAUAGCUACGGCGUAAAGAGUGGUUAAGAAAAUAUAUUAAAUAAAGCCAAAGGUUCCCUAAGCCGUCUCACGCACUCCGGAAAUACGAAGCCCAAAUACGAAAGUAGCUUUACCUCCUGCUAUUCUGACCCCACGAAAGCUAAGAAACAAACUAGGAUUAGAUACCCCAC